rnacentral:tRNA from 1 species
GACUUAAAAUCCGUCGAUUUUUAAAAUCGUGAGGGUUCAAGUCCCUCUAUCCCCA